rnacentral:lncRNA from 1 species
GCGCGUGCUCCGGCGAGCACAUGGGCAGAGCGGCCCGCACCGCUCCGCUCCGCGCCGCUCCGCUCGGCCCCGCCGCCGCCGGACCCCCGGCCGGGGAUUGGGAGGGGGGGGGCGCGGAAAUGCAGUUGGUUUUGUCCACACAUGAAGAUGUCCAUCCCUCCAGCUGAGCCAGAGCCUUACUACUAUCCUGCCAGCAUAUAGAGCAUGGACAUCAGUGCUUGGUGGGAAUCUUUGCAUCUCUUCCUCCAAGCAGAAGAGGGACUCUUCUUUGGAUACUGGGGAGAAGAACAAGCAUUG